rnacentral:tRNA from 1 species
GCCCGGCUAGCUCAGUCAGUAGAGCAGGGGACUCUCAAUUCCAGGGUCGUGGGUUCGAACCCCACGUUGGGCG